rnacentral:rRNA from 1 species
UGCCCGAAGGGUGACGAAGCGACGCCGCGUGGGUGAGGAAGGCCUUCGGGUUGUAAAGCCCUGUCAGGAGUUAAGAAAUGUAGACUCGCUAAUAUCGGGUCUAUUUGACAAAGGCUCCAAAGGAAGCCACGGCUAACUCUGUGCCAGCAGCCGCGGUAAUACAGAGGUGGCAAGCGUUGUUCGGAAUUAUUGGGCGUAAAGAGCACGUAGGUGGAUUUGUAAGUCAGACGUGAAAGCCUUCUGUUCAACGGAAGAAUUGCAUCUGAAACUACAAACCUUGAGUGUAGGAGGGGAGAAUGGAACUUCUGGUGGAGCGGUGAAGUGCGUAGAUAUCAGAAGGAACGCCGGCGGCGAAAGCGAUUCUCUGGCCUAUUACUGACACUCAGUGUGCGAAAGCUAGGGGAGCAAACGGGAUUAGAUACCCCGGUAGUCCUGGUCGUAAACGAUGGGCACUAAGUAGAGGGGU